rfam:Heligmosomoides polygyrus genome assembly, scaffold: HPBE_scaffold0002489
GCGUCGGUGGUGUAAAGGCGUAGAGCAUUCCCGCCCGGUCAGAGGGAGGUGCGGGUUCGAGUCCCGCCUGGCGCU